CGUUCGCCUCGGUCAAGUCAUGCUGCACUCUGGAAAAGGAAGCAGAGCUACUUCCUUUCCUGGUGGCUUCCUUGGUUAUUGCACCUCCUACUCCAUUUCUUGCUGCAAGAUUCUCCCCGUGAUCCACGGCCAGGAGCGACGGCACCACCUGUGCGCAAGCGCAGACGACACCAGGAUUGCACAUGGCAGAUGAAGAUGAGAGAGCCAGCAUGCAACAGAGAGGAGAGAGUCACAUUACAUAGAUAUCAAGAAACUAUCCUUCCAAGAUUCCAAGGACUUUUGGAGUUGUACAGCACGAAAUGGGAAUGAACAUCAAAUGUGUAUCUCACAAUAGUACAAUGAUAUUACUCUCUCAUGACCAAAGACAUCAGAAACACCUCCCAAGCCCUUUAAGAUCAGAAAAGAUGACACGUUGCCCUGACGUGACCCAAUGA